UCAGGUAAUGCUGGGGACGUCUAAAGGAAACUGCCUACGCAAGUAGUGAGGAAGGCGGGGAGUGACGUCAAAUCAGCACGGCCCUUACGUCCAGGGCUACACACGUGCUACAAUGGCCGAUACAGAGGGCAGCUACCUGGUGACAGGAUGCAAAUCUCCAAAGUCGGUCUCAGUUCGGAUCGGAGUCUGCAACCCGACUCCGUGAAGUUGGAUUCGCUAGUAAUCGCGCAUCAGCCAUGGCGCGGUGAAUACGUUCCCGGGCCUU
rnacentral:rRNA from 1 species